rnacentral:rRNA from 1 species
AUUGAACGCUGGCGGCAGGCCUAACACAUGCGAGUCGAGCGGAUGAAGGGAGCUUGCUCCUGGAUUCAGCGGCGGACGGGUGAGUAAUGCCUAGGAAUCUGCCUGGUAGUGGGGGAUAACGUCCGGAAACGGGCGCUAAUACUGCAUACGUCCUGAGGGAGAAAGUGGGGGAUCUUCGGACCUCACGCUAUCAGAUGAGCCUAGGUCGGAUUAGCUAGUUGGUGGGGUAAAGGCCUACCAAGGCGACGAUCCGUAACUGGUCUGAGAGGAUGAUCAGUCACACUGGAACUGAGACACGGUCCAGACUCCUACGGGAGGCAGCAGUGGGGAAUAUUGGACAAUGGGCGAAAGCCUGAUCCAGCCAUGCCGCGUGUGUGAAGAAGGUCUUCGGAUUGUAAAGCACCUUAAGUUGGGAGGAAGGGCAGUAAGUUAAUACCUUGCUGUUUUGACGUUACCAACAGAAUAAGCACCGGCUAACUUCGUG